rnacentral:rRNA from 1 species
AUUGAACGCUGGCGGCAGGCUUAACACAUGCAAGUCGAGCGGGGUGAUGGUGCUUGCACUAUCACUUAGCGGCGGACGGGUGAGUAAUGCUUAGGAAUCUGCCUAUUAGUGGGGGACAACAUCUCGACAGGGAUGCUAAUACCGCAUACGUCCUACGGGAGAAAGCAGGCGAUCACUUGUGACCUUGCGCUAAUAGAUGAGCCUAAGUCGGAUUAGAUAGUUGGUGGGGUAAAGGCCUACCAAGGCGACGAUAUGUAGCGGGUCUGAGAGGAUGAUCCGCCACACUGGGACUGAGACACGGCCCAGACUCCUACGGGAGGCAGCAGUGGGGAAUAUUGGACAAUGGGGGGAACCCUGAUCCAGCCAUGCCGCGUGUGUGAAGAAGGCCUUAUGGUUGUAAAGCACUUUAAGCGAGGAGGAGGCUCUUUUGGUUAAUACCCAAGAUGAGUGGACGUUACUCGCAGAAUAAGCACCGGCUAACUCUGUGCCAGCCGCCGCCGUAA